AUGAAACAAUUGUUAUUUAAGAAAAUGAGGAAUCCAGGAUUGAGUCAGGAAACACAGGGAGAGGAGUCUGGAAGUGUCUGUGGGAGUUUCUCAGUAGAAUCCAUAGUUCCAGUAUCUCCUAUAGCAGAAUGGGUAGCUGCUGUAUCCAUACAGACCAUAGCCACAGCCAUAGCCCAGGCCACCAUAGCCACAGCCAUAGUAGCACAUAGUGUCAGAGGUUGAAGAUUCAGUCAAGAAUCAGGUAACCAGCGUCGACAAUCUGAACACCACUAGCUAUCCCUGUGCUUUUAUACACCUUCAGUGAUGGGUGGGGCAAACCACAGGAAAAGGUGGACUCAUAAUUCACUUUAAUUUACAUUAGAAAAAUUCCCCGUUUGUUUCUUUAGGCAAAGAAUUUUCAUACUUUAGAUUCUUUCUACUUUAAGUUAGGAGUCCCAUGAUUAAGCCACCUUACUUUUAUGAUAAAUGAUUACUGUAUUUACAAAUCUACAUCAAAGUAGUCUAUUGUGAAAAGUUCUCAACUGUGGUUUUUAUUUUUUUUUUUGAAUUUCAAAAAAAUAGUAAACUGCUUGUGUCAGGAGCUUAGAUGCAUAGAGAGACAUUUUAAGUAAAAUAAGAAUUUUGUGGGAGGGGAGCUGUGUCAUAGAAAAUUAAGCCAUCUGCCACCUGCUACUCUAUAUCGAGAGCAAUUCUUGGCAAUACUGGAUUAGAUAAUGGCCUGAGUAUUUAGGUUCCUACCACCCAUGUGAGAAACCUGUAUGUAUCUUGGGAUCCCAGCUUCAGCCUGUCUCAGCUCUGGCUGUUGAGGCCAUUUGAAGGAAUGAAACAGGAGAUGGAAAAACACUCUGUGUGUGUGUGUGUGUGUGUGUAUUUCUCCCUCUUUCAUUCACAUUGACUUUCAAAUAAAUAAAUAUUUACAGUAGAAUUUAUAUGUAUG
rnacentral:lncRNA from 1 species